GACGAACGCUGGCGGCGUGCUUAACACAUGCAAGUCGAACGGAAAGGCCCUGCUUUUGUGGGGUGCUCGAGUGGCGAACGGGUGAGUAACACGUGAGUAACCUGCCCUUGACUUUGGGAUAACUUCAGGAAACUGGGGCUAAUACCGGAUAGGAGCUCCUGCUGCAUGGUGGGGGUUGGAAAGUUUCGGCGGUUGGGGAUGGACUCGCGGCUUAUCAGCUUGUUGGUGGGGUAGUGGCUUUCCAAGGCUUUGACGGGUAGCCGGCCUGAGAGGGUGACCGGCCACAUUGGGACUGAGAUACGGCCCAGACUCCUACGGGAGGCAGCAGUGGGGAAUAUUGCACAAUGGGCGGAAGCCUGAUGCAGCAACGCCGCGUGCGGGAUGACGGCCUUCGGGUUGUAAACCGAUUUCGCCUGUGACGAAGCGUGAGUGACGGUAAUGGGUAAAGAAGCACCGGCUAACUACGUG
rnacentral:rRNA from 1 species